rnacentral:rRNA from 1 species
AGCAGCCGCGGUAAUUCCAGCUCCAAUAGCGUAUAUUAAAGUUGUUGCAGUUAAAAAGCUCGUAGUUGAAUUUCGGGAUUGGCGCAUCGGUCGUGCCUUACGGGGUAUGAACUGGUGCAGUCAAUUUCUCACCUUCUGGAGAACCGCGAUGUCCUUAAUUGGGUGCCGCGGGGAACCAGGACCUUUACUUUGAAAAAAAUUAGAGUGUUUAAAGCAGGCAUUUUUGCUUGAAUACAUUAGCAUGGAAUAAUAAAAUAGGACGGCAUGGUUCUAUUUUGUUGGUUUCUAGGACCACCGUAAUGAUUAAUAGGGAUAGUUGGGGGCAUUAGUAUUCAAUUGUCAGAGGUGAAAUUCUUGGAUUUAUUGAAGACUAACUACUGCGAAAGCAUUUGCCAAGGAUGUUUUCAUUAAUCAAGAACGAAAGUUAGGGGAUCGAAGACGAUCAGAUACCGUCGUAGUCUUAACCAUAAACUAUGCCGACUAGGAAUCAGACGAUGUUAAUUUUUUUCAAUGACUCGUU